rnacentral:rRNA from 1 species
ACGAACGCUGGCGGCGUGCUUAACACAUGCAAGUCGAACGGAAAGGCCCUGCUUUUGUGGGGUGCUCGAGUGGCGAACGGGUGAGUAACACGUGAGUAACCUGCCCUUUACUUUGGGAUAACUUCAGGAAACUGGGGCUAAUACCGGAUAGGAGCUCCUGCUGCAUGGUGGGGGUUGGAAAGUUUCGGCGGUUGGGGAUGGACUGGCGGCUUAUCAGCUUGUUGGUGGGGUAGUGGCUUACCAAGGCUUUGACGGGUAGCCGGCCUGAGAGGGUGACCGGCCACAUUGGGACUGAGAUACGGCCCAGACUCCUACGGGAGGCAGCAGUGGGGAAUAUUGCACAAUGGGCGGAAGCCUGAUGCAGCAACGCCGCGUGCGGGAUGACGGCCUUCGGGUUGUAAACCGCUUUCGCCUGUGACGAAGCGUGAGUGACGGUAAUGGGUAAAGAAGCACCGGCUAACUACGUG